AUUGAACGCUGGCGGCAUGCCUUACACAUGCAAGUCGAACGGCAGCACGGGAGCAAUCCUGGUGGCGAGUGGCGAACGGGUGAGUAAAGUAUCGGAACGUGCCCAGUCGUGGGGGAUAACGUAGCGAAAGUUACGCUAAUACCGCAUACGAUCUAUGGAUGAAAGCGGGGGAUCGCAAGACCUCGCGCGAUUGGAGCGGCCGAUAUCAGAUUAGGUAGUUGGUGGGGGAAAGGCCCACCAAGCCGACGAUCUGUAGCUGGUCUGAGAGGACGACCAGCCACACUGGGACUGAGACACGGCCCAGACUCCUACGGGAGGCAGCAGUGGGGAAUUUUGGACAAUGGGCGAAAGCCUGAUCCAGCCAUGCCGCGUGCAGGAUGAAGGCCUUCGGGUUGUAAACUGCUCUUGUACGGAACGAAAAGGACUGCCCUAAUACGGUGGUCCCAUGACGGUACCGUAAGAAUAAGCACCGGCUAACUACGUGCCAGCCGCCGCCGUAACAC
rnacentral:rRNA from 1 species